GUUCCCCGAAAGACGAGGCUGCGCCCGGAUUCCGGUCCGCAGGGAGACCGAAGGGCACAGCUCCCCGCGCCGCGCACGCCGCCCGAGCCCGGAGUGCGGACACCCCCGGGAUGCUUGCGCCCCAGAGGACCCGCGCCCCAAGCCCCCGCGCCGCCCCCAGGCCCACCCGGAGCAUGCUGCCUGCAGCCAUGAAGGGCCUCGGCCUGGCGCUGCUGGCCGUCCUGCUGUGCUCGGCGCCCGGUGAGUAGGGGGCCCGCGGGCUGGGUCAGGUGCCUGGGAGAGCCCGAGGCGCCGCGGGAGAGCCGGGUGUGGGGCUGCCACCCUCUGACGGUUCCCACCGCACUUCGCAUAGAGCCCACGCCCCCUCCGGGACCCCUGCGACCCCAGCCCGGCCCUCGGCCCCUCUGCCCCGGCACUGGGCUCUCUCCAGCGCUCUUCCUCCAGGGCCUGGAACUGGUGGGCGGCUGGCCCCGCACGGAAGCCCUUGGUCAUCCGUCACCUCUGAGAGCCUCCCGGGCCUCCUUUCAAAUCCAGUUUGGUCCUUCACAGCUUGGAACCCACGGACCUCUGGGGGGGAUAUGUGAGGCGGGGCGGGAGUGUGAGGGGGGCACUGUCGGUGUGGGGUCUGUAUAGCCCGUGUGUGUGUUUGUGUGUGUGUGUGCACGCACGUGCAUGGGGGCCAGGGAGGGGCCAUAGGGGCUCCCCUCAAACUGCCAGGAUGGGGCACAGUUGUCCCAGGGCCUCUGCUCCCCCUCCAGGGGUCAUGGGGGCCUGCUCCCUCCCGUGGGGUCGGGCUCUCCCAGGAGUGCCUGCAGCAGGGGGAUGGGUGGGGGGCGCAGGGGGCUGCCUGGUUUGGACCCCAGUGCCUCUGGUCACCCUCCUCCCCAUGCCCUGCCCAGCUCAUGGCCUGUGGUGCCAGGACUGCACCCUGACCACCAACUCCAGCCAUUGCACCCCAAAGCAGUGCCAGCCGUCCGACACGGUGUGUGCCAGUGUCCGAAUCACCGAUCCCAGCAGCAGCAGGAAGGAUCACUCGGUGAACAAGAUGUGUGCCUCCUCCUGUGACUUCGUUAAGCGACACUUUUUCUCAGACUAUCUGAUGGGGUUUAUUAACUCUGGGAUCUUAAAGGUCGACGUGGACUGCUGCGAGAAGGAUUUGUGCAAUGGGGCGGCAGGGGCAGGGCACAGCCCCUGGGCCCUGGCCGGGGGGCUCCUGCUCAGCCUGGGGCCUGCCCUCCUCUGGGCUGGGCCCUGAUGUCUCCUCCUUCCCACGGGGCUUCUGAGCUUGCUCCCCUGAGCCUGUGGCUGCCCUCUCCCCAGCCUGGCGUGGCUGGGGCUGGGGGCAGCCUUGGCCCAGCUCCGUGGCUGUGGCCUGUGGCUCUCACUCCUCCCCCGACGUGAAGCCUCCCUGUCUCUCCGCCAGCUCUGAGUCCCAGGCAGCUGGACAUCUCCAGGAAACCAGGCCAUCUGGGCAGGAGGCCUGGGGAUGAGGGUGGGGGGGGACCCCCAGGUCCCGGAGGGGAAGUGAAGCAACAGCCCAGCUGGAAGGGCGUCUUCUGCGGAGAAAUAAAGUCACUUUUGAGUCCUGAGA
rnacentral:lncRNA from 1 species